rnacentral:misc_RNA from 1 species
UAAUAAGUGUUUUAUGGCACUUUUUUAAAUCCAUAUCCACCUUGUGUGCAAUGUCAGGGUUGGUCUUUUUUGACCAGCCCCAAACAUCAACUAUUAUCUCAACUCUUUGUCUGAAAAAUAUUAUGAAUAAAACAAUUCAAAAUA